CUACUCUGGCUUCUCUUCAACGUAUGAUUCUUUCGCCGUUUACUAAAGAAUUCCGUGGAGAGGAGCAGUUCAAUGAGUCUUGAACAUUUUUCGAUAUCCGACUUUGGAAAA
ensembl:snRNA U5 U5 spliceosomal RNA